GGUCAAGUUAGGAAGGGCAUAUGGUGGAUGCCAAUGGCAUCAGGAGGCGAAGAAGGACGUGGCAGGCUGCGAAAAGCCACGGGGAGCUGCGAGUGAGCGUAGAUCCGUGGAUGUCCGAAUGGGGCAACCCAUCCUGAGGAAAGUCAGGAUAUCACUAUCUGAAUACAUAGGGUAGUGAGGCGAACCCGGGGAAGUGAAACAUCUCAGU
rnacentral:rRNA from 1 species